rnacentral:rRNA from 1 species
UAAUGUAUGGGGAUCUGCCCGAUAGAGGGGGAUAACUAACGGGAAACGGUGGCUAAUACCGCAUAAUGUCUACGGACCAAAGCAGGGCUCUUCGGACCUUGCACUAUCGGAUGAACCCAUAUGGGAUUAGCUAGUAGGUGGGGUAAAGGCUCACCUAGGCGACGAUCUCUAGCUGGUCUGAGAGGAUGAUCAGCCACACUGGGACUGAGACACGGCCCAG